AGUCACUGACAUUAGAUACCCGUGUAGUCCCAGCCGUAAACUAUGCGCGUUAGGUGUAUCGGUGACCACGAGUUACCGAGGUGCCGAAGGGAAACCGUGAAACGUGCCGCCUGGGAAGUACGGUCGCAAGGCUGAAACUUAAAGGAAUUGGCGGGGGAGCACCACAACGGGUGGAGCUUGCGGUUUAAUUGGAUUCAACGCCGGAAAUCUUACCGGGACCGACAGCAACAUGAAGGCCAGGCUGAAGACUUUGCCGGAUUAGCUG
rnacentral:rRNA from 1 species